rfam:Coccidioides immitis RMSCC 2394 supercont1.1 genomic scaffold, whole genome shotgun sequence.
GGCAAGAUGGCCGAGCGGUUAAGGCGUUGCACUCAAGCUGCCAAGCUUAGCCACCUCAGGUGGUUAGCAUUGCAAUGGGGAAACCCGCGGGAGUUCGAAUCUCCCUCUUGUCA